rnacentral:lncRNA from 1 species
GGAGUAAUUGCAAUCAGCAAUUGAACUCCUUUUACUAGAAGGCCUUAUCCUGUGUGCCCCAGCACGGGGUUGCACUGUUCUGGGAGUAAGGCUUGACACUGAACCGGUGACCAGAAGUUCCUUUUAAGAUACACCUUUAUGUCAUUAUGUUGUCUACUUUAAAAUAAAAAUUGUUUUUAGAUGUGCUGGCAAGACCUUCAUAACAUUUGUUUUGCUGGACUUCAACGCUGAGUGUCAAAACACCUAUCUUUGGGAGUUUUCACAGGAUUAUCACUUCUUUAGAAGACUACAGUUCUGCUGGGCUUGCUCUGUGUUCAGUAAUGUGCCUCCCUAAUGACUCUAGCUGUCGAGGUAUGAUUCUGACACUGUUUGCCUGGCCUAGCGUGAAAUCUGCAUGAGGGACCCAGUGUACAACCCUUGGGCUGCUUCCUUAGACCAGUUAGUGCAUUGCUUAUCUAACCAGGUUGUUGAUUGCUGGUAAACAAGCAUCGGUCUGCUCUCAGUGACUGAGAUAGAAUUCUCAUGUCCCAGAUUUUUGAAGUUGCCAUUUUCAGUUUACUUUGUAAAUCAAAUCUUAGAGCACACCCUUGUGCCAAUUUGGCCUCCGAGUCCUGUUUCCUAAGCCUUCCCAUAUGACCUAAAGCAAACACAGAAUUACUGACCACACCUAAAGCUCUUCAGAGGAUUUUCCUCCUUAUAACUGCAAAGGAUGUUGAACACAGUCUCUCUCUGAUGAAAGCUACUGGGGAUUGGUGUAUCAGAAAUAACCUGGCUCUGAACAGAUGUUCUGUGUGACCUGGGGUACUUUCACCAUAUCCAUGUGGCUUUAAUUUCUUCGAUAACUGCCUGUUCCUGUGAUAUGAGAGUGCCCCAGUUUUCAGUGGCCUCACAAUGGAAGACACUGGGCUGUGAUUUACUUCUUCUCUUACACCUGAAGAAAGGGAUCAGCUCUCACGAAGCACCAUGUCUAGCAGCAGAGAAGUCAACACACACCAGGGGAAAGCUCGAGCACGCAUAGAGCUCGCAUCUCUGAAGUGUCCGUCUCAUUACCUCGUGUCCUACCUGCACUGAUAGAGCUCUCCAGGUCCUUUACCUUUCACCACAUCUAACCAUUUAGAUAAUGGUAUUUGUGGGUGGAAUCUGUGAUGGGAAUUUGAAGAGCUGAUGAAGGAUUUUUCUCAGGGUCAAAUGAAGCUUGAAUCUCUGCAGUGGACACAGGAAAAAAGGAGUGAGUGACAGAAAAGAAGGAAGAUGGGACCUUUCUGCUGAACCCUCCGUACAGUCAAAACCAAGGAACACUGUCCCGGAUCUAACAUUUCAAGAUUUCUGAAAAACAGCUCAAGUCCAUCUCAGGCUCUUAGGCCUGUCAGUUCUCUGUAUGCUUUCAAAUGCCAAGUGCCCUCCAAGCUCCUUUAGUCCCCAGCAAAGGAAGCCUGUCAGCCAGAAGCCUGCUACUGCUUAUUGAGCCAUGGUCCCUCAACCACCCCCACUGCAUCUCUGAAAUGGUACCCGGUGAUCUGAUUCUCUUUUUUAAAAAAGAACAUUGGCCUCCUUCCCUAUGAAUAGAUAAGAUCGUGGAGCAAAAUUAUGUGCUGACCAUGAGCUUCCUUCUAGCAUUUGGUGCUAGUGUUUAACUGUCGUGGUCUGUUCCUUCUUGGUGUCGAAUGGUGUGGUACGUGGCUGUAUGCUGUUCUGGCUUUCCUUUGUAAAAUACCUCUGGGUACCCUGCAGUGAUCCUGCGAACUUUUUGUGUUCCAGAAACUUGCUUGUAACCUGCUUAUCUGAGGUCAAGCUCCUCGUCUAGGAGGCUUGUCCUCUCCUCCCUUUGGAUGCUGGGCACAGCACUAUCCUUUUAUUAACUGUGGAUUUUGUUUUGAGAAAGAUGGUGGGAUAAGAAAUGGUGCUGUUGCUCUGAGAACUUUGUUGUUUGGGUCCUGAAGUGACUCUAAAAGGGUGUUUUUGUUUUGUUUUGUUUUGUUUUGUUUUGUUUUUGUCUCCAGAAGAACAGCAGUCAGCCAUAUUGUUCAUUUGGAGGAAUGAAAAUGUUUUGCCUUUUGUUUUUGAUAAUUACUGUCUUUACCACCACAUGCCUUUGCUUCCAUCCAUUUUCCUUUGUGGACGUUGCCCUUUCUGUAUUUUUAUCCAGAAGAGGAUUAUUAGCUUUGUUGCCCGAGGACCUCAGAGUCUAUGAGGAAAGGGAAAAGAAGGUUGUGCCAUACAAGAAGUAUGGACCUAGGUUGUGAAAAUAGGGUUCUUAUGGUUAACCUGCAAAGACAAAGUCUACCAGGUAAGAUGCCUCGACAGAGUAGAAAGAACAGGAACUACUGGGUCGGAGAUUAGAUUGGUGGCAGUUCUUACCCAGCAUGUAGGAGCACCGAAAAAUAAAAACAGUAGUAACAAGCACCAGAUAGGACAUUUAUAAUUGUCGUGAAGCUGCAGAGAACAUGCCGUGACAUGCUUAUCCACAUUCUUAUAGCCUGAGGCCAUGUGUGGCUUGUGGAUGAUCAGGCCCUGUUUGCCAAGAACACUUGAAAUCUGAUUCCACUUCUAAUAACUACUCCUAAUCGAUUCCCAAGGCAGGUCUAUCCACCAAUCAUUAAUAAUCUAAAAACUACUUUGUGUUUGUCACUUUGUAUUGUAUCCUGACUGGUUGCCCACAUUUUACACUAAAGCAGAUGUUUCAUGUAGCAGAAGGAGUCUGUGAUACAGUAGGGGGGCGUGGGCAGUCUCAGUCUGCAUGUGCUUCUGGGAAGAACAGCUAGCACUCAUUUAAACAUCUGGCUACUGUAUGGCUAUGCCCACAAAUCAAAGAGUAAUGAUGAACCUUAAAAUAGAGGACCAGAAUAGCCAUAGCUGAGGCAGAGAGCUCUCUUGAACCUAGAAUUUGAGACCAGCCUAAAUGACCUAACAAGUCCCUCGUCUC